AGAGAUUUUUUAUCUUGAUUUAUUUAUUUAUUUUAUCUUGAUUUAUUUCUAUAGUUACAAGUAUAGAUUGAUAGAGUUGUAUAGUUGUAUUUAUAGGUGUAUCUAUUUAUACAUCUGUAUAGUUUGUAUGUAUAGUUAUGGAUUUUAUUUCUAUGUAUACAGUUCCAUUUAUAGAUUUUCUAAUUUGCAUUGAUAAAUGUAGAGAGUAACAUUUAGAUGUGCACACAGUUCAAUUUCUAAAUGUGCAUAGUUCUUUAGUUAGAGCUCUAUGGAUGUAUAGGUCCAUAGAUUGAGCAGUGUAGACCUAGGCUGCAUUUUUGCCUCUUUCCCCCUUGGCUGCCUUUUUCAUCUCUUGUUUUUCCCGCUGUGCCCCUUGUGUCCCCCUGUGCUGGGUCCGAGCUGGGGCCGGGCCAGGCGGAGCAGCAGUUGCAGCCCUGGCUGUCCCUGGAGCGGUGGGAGCUGCCGGUGGCCCCAGGCACUGUCCUGUGAGGAGCUGCUGAAGGACGCUGUGCUGAAGAGCUUGAGGACAGGCAGACACUGCCAGGAGCCAGCAGGGAGAAUCUGAAGGCCUGGAGCAAGAGCAGUGAGCAGGGAUGUGCUGGGGCCACGCGAGAGCCUGGAUGUCCCAUCUGCUGUCCCUGUCCAGGAGAGCUGCUCUGCAUGGGAGGAAAACACUGAGAGGCUUUGAAGAUCGGGCGGCUGGGAUCCCUCUGAUUAUAUAUCUUUAUGUAUAUAUAUUGUAUGAAAUAUGUCAUAUUUAAUCUGUAUUUCCAUCUCUUGACUGUUAUAUAUGUAUAUAUAAAGGUAUUUAGUUCUAUUUAAACAUGUCUGGAGUGGUAGAGUUGUAUAAUUCUAUCUAUUGAAUUCUUAGUACAGGGUUAUUUAGAGGGAGACACUGAUAUUUUUGUAUUUCAAUAUGGGCUGUAAGUUUGUUGUAAUCUGUAAUAAAUUAAGUUGUUAAACACCUCAUUAAUCUUUGUCUAU